CCUACGGGAGGCAGCAGUGGGGAAUAUUGGGCAAUGGGCGCAAGCCUGACCCAGCAACGCCGCGUGAAGGAAGAAGGCUUUCGGGUUGUAAACUUCUUUUCUCAGGGACGAAGCAAGUGAAGGUACCUGAGGAAUAAGACACGGCUAACUACGUGCCAGCAGCCGCGGUAAUACGGAGGUGGCAAGCGUUAUCCGGAUUUACUGGGUGUAAAGGGCGUGUAGGCGGGAAAGCAAGUCAGAUGUGAAAACCAUGGGCUCAACCUGUGGCCUGCAUUUGAAACUGUUUUUCUUGAGUACUGGAGAGGCAGACGGAAUUCCUAGUGUAGCGGUGAAAUGCGUAGAUAUUAGGAGGAACACCAGUGGCGAAGGCGGUCUGCUGGACAGCAACUGACGCUGAGGCGCGAAAGCGUGGGGAGCAAACAGGAUUAGAUACCCCAGUAGUC
rnacentral:rRNA from 1 species